CCUACGGGUGGCAGCAGUGAGGAAUAUUGGUCAAUGGACGCAAGUCUGAACCAGCCAUGCCGCGUGCAGGAAGACGGCUCUAUGAGUUGUAAACUGCUUUUAUAUGGGAAUAAAGUGCAGUAUGUAUACUGCUUUGCAUGUACCUUAUGAAUAAGGAUCGGCUAACUCCGUGCCAGCAGCCGCGGUAAUACGGAGGAUUCGAGCGUUAUCCGGAUUUAUUGGGUUUAAAGGGAGCGUAGGCGGGUUGUUAAGUCAGUUGUGAAAGUUUGCGGCUCAACCGUAAAAUUGCAGUUGAUACUGGCAUCCUUGAGUACAGUAGAGGUAGGCGGAAUUCGUGGUGUAGCGGUGAAAUGCUUAGAUAUCACGAAGAACUCCGAUUGCGAAGGCAGCCUGCUGGACUGUAACUGACGCUGAUGCUCGAAAGUGUGGGUAUCAAACAGGAUUAGAUACCCCAGUAGUC
rnacentral:rRNA from 1 species